CUAUAAAGAAGUUCUAAGCUUGAGGCUGUCAGUAGGAGUGAAAAGAAGGUGCUCUGACUUCUGGCCUUGCUACUGACGGAUGCUGCAGCUCACACCCAGCUCCGGCCAUCCUCCGUGGAACUCAGGUCACCUCUGGGAGUGAGAACUGUGGUCUCCGAGUCCUCUCUGCCCGCAUCUUCUGCCCCUGUUUUCUGCCCCUGGACAGCACCCCCUGGAAUCUGGCCAGACUCCUCUCCCGGGUUUUAUCUGAUUCUGCCUUCCCCCUUUGGAUGGAGACGAAGGUGUUCCCACAUGUUCCUCUGCUGCAGUGCCCAGUGCCAGCCUAAGCACCCAGGAACCGUCUUGGCCACAUCCGUCCAUGAAUGACUGCAGGCGGGAAGAGAGUAACACACCCUCUUUGAAGGCCGACAGGAACCAAGAAAGAUUUGAUUUCAUUGCCUGUGGGUUAAAGGAAGCUGAGUUCCAACUCAGGACACAAGUCCACCAUCUCCGUGGGGCGCUGGCUUUCCUGCUAAAGACGCCCUUCCUUGCCCUGACAGCCUGUCUCUCAACUUAUCGCCUGUCCUGCCAAGA